GGUCGAUGAUGAACAGUAAAAGGUCUGAGGGCACAAGGGAAUCACACUCCAUUACCCUCCUGGCUCCCAGCAGUCCGUGUUCUAUCAUGCUGUAGUAGAGCUAUGAUUGAGAAAGAGAUUGCUGACACUUUAGGAUUAAUUCAGUUCCAGUUCUCCACAGUGAAGGGAGUUGUGGCACUGAAUGUCAUCCAACAGAGGGUGGUUAAGAGGGUGGUGAAGAGGAGCUCAUGGUAGUGGGGUGUCUUCAUUUGUUGUGUGUGAUCUAAAGUUUUCAAGCUGAGACC
rfam:Chaetura pelagica isolate M959 contig16065, whole genome shotgun sequence.